UGGGCGAGCGCAAGAAAGGAACAGUGGUGAACCGGCAACAGGAUCAUGGGUGGGCGAUGCUCAUUGAUGCAUGUGUGAAGCGAUGGCUGGCCCAUGUGGUCCGAUCCAACAGACAAGCUCCUGUUGCUCAAAUUGAUAAAUACGUAAAUAUUAGCACUCUGUCAGACCCUGAAACGUACUCAGGAUGAAGUUUGUAGAAAGAUAAAUGGAGUUUACGGCUGUGCCUGUGGGAACGUUCCAAAACACAACCCAAAUACUAGUGAUGCCAUUGAAACAUGUUCAGGCAGCAAUGGAUCACUGUCUCUGUAUCGCUGCCAGCUAUUUGAAGACGGAUAUUCUGUAGAUAUUCUCCACCUUAAUGACCCAAGCUGCAAAGGAACAAUUGAAAAUGACAGGCUGGUGUUCUACUUUGACAGUAAUUCUGGCAUGUGUGGCACAACUUUGAAGAAUAAUGGAACAUACAAUAUCUUUGAGAACAGUGUUGGGACAAAUGAUGGGAUAGGUGUGAUUACUCGUGCCCAUGGACUCAGCAUCACCUUUUCCUGUUCAUAUCCACUCAUCCACCACAUCUCCAUGCCUUUACCUAUCCAAGCCACAAGAAGUGUCAUCAGCAAGGAUCUCUCUACCGAGGGCUCGUACCAGAUCAGCAUGAUCCUGUAUACUGAUGCUACAUUCCAGGUUCCAUUCUCUGGCAAUGUAACACUAGAAGUAAACCAUCAGAUGUACAUAGGUGUGGAAGUGAAGCCAUUUGACAGUGCUCAGAUCGCUCUUUAGUGCUGGAAAAUUGCUGGGCCACUCCUGUGAACCAGAGUGACAAUCCCGCCCGCUGGGAUCUUAUUGUUGACGAGUAGAUGUUCAAACCCCAAUGAUGACAUGGUGUUGAUGUGGCAGAACAGCAUCUCCACAUCCAGCCAUUUCUCAUUUAAGAUGUUUACAUUCACCGGCUUUUCCCAUAAGAUCUACUUGCACUGCAAGGUCCAUCUCUGUCUGCAGGAGUCAGGAAACUGUGCAUGGAAAUGUUUUGGAACCAGAAGACGCAGAUCUGUGUGUUUUUAUGACUUUUUUUUUUAAACAUAGUUCUAUCACUUUUUUUUGUUCUGUGUUUAAUCAAAUUUAAAUUCAACUUCUCCAAUUCAUAAAAUGUUGUAAGUGAUUAUACUCUGCUUAUAUCUGCUUACAGUAUACUGGCUUAAUUAGUUAUAAUAAAGCUUUUAUGCAUGUUAUUGUUUUUAGGGUCCCCUGGUGGUCUAGUGGUUAAGAUGCAGCGCUCUCACCGCUGCGACCCGGGUUCGAUCCCCGGUCAGGGA